AACGAACGCUGGCGGCAGGCUUAACACAUGCAAGUCGAACGCCCCGCAAGGGGAGUGGCAGACGGGUGAGUAACGCGUGGGAAUCUACCCAGUUCUUCGGAACAACACAGGGAAACUUGUGCUAAUACCGGAUACGCCCUACGGGGGAAAGAUUUAUCGGGAUUGGAUGCGCCCGCGUUGGAUUAACUUGUUGGUGAGGUAACGGCUCACCAAGGCGACGAUCCCUAGCUGGUCUGAGAGGAUGAUCAGCCCCACUGGGACUGAGACACGGACCAGACUCCGCCGGGAGCCGACAGUGGGGAAUGUUGGACGGUGGGCGCAAGCCUGAUCCGGCCAUGCCGCGUGAGUGAUGAAGGCCUUAGGGUUGUAAAGCUCUUUCAGUGGGGACGAUAAUGACGGUACCCACAGAAGAAGCCCCGGCUAACUUCGUGCCAGCCGCCGCCGUAACAC
rnacentral:rRNA from 1 species